ACAGUGACUCCGCCAGCUCCUUUGGCAGCCUGUGCCACUGCAUCACCACUCUUUCAAAGCAGAAAUUCUUCCUAAGCUCAUACAGACUUGGAGCAGCUUAGAUCCCACAGCAUUUGGUUCCCUGAGCAGAAAAGCAGCUUCCAUGCAGGGCAAAGGCUUCUCACAGCCCUUUAGGCUCUUUCGCAGUGGGCUGGUUGGACUGCAUCUGGCUGUGCACAUUCAGAGCCGGCCUUGAGCACAGACAGACAAAUCCGUGGGGAGGAGAAAGAAGCUGCAGGGCUCGUUGGGGCACUUAGGGCAGCUCAGACAUUCCAGGGAUGAUAUUUUCCUGGAAGCAAAGUACUUCAGUGCUGUGUACCUUAGUACUAUAUUCCCUGUGGAUCUAGGGCCACUCUGUGCUGUGCCAGUUUAUCUGAAGUGGACUGAAUGAAAAUAGAUGGAUAUACACUGGAUAUAUACUGGAUAAAAACGUUGUUGUGAUAGCUGCCAGUUCAGCAGUCACUUACUGAAUUUCUGGAGAUCUGGACAACUAUGUUAAGUGCUUAUGCAAGGACAUGUCACAGACAGAGCUCUGUGCAUCUGGACGAUCUCCCAGAUGUGUACCAUAUAGAUUUGGGGGUGUGUGGGCCCUUGUUGCAGAACGCUAUGGUGCAAAUUCACCUUAACAGAUUUCCCAAUAAGUUCUCUGGGUAAACAUUCCUGCUGUGGCUUUCACUAUCUGGACUUUUCCAUGCAGCUCUGGAAUGUGUUUGGUGACCUGGAUAACACAGGCAAAGUGCUUUUGCUUUCAGAUGGGGAAAGACUGUGUUUGAGACGUUCCACGUUUGUUAACUCCCAUAUCCUCUUGGCUCUGUGUUCUCCAUCUCCUCGUAGACCAGAAACAAAGCCUCCAUUUUCGUCUGUUCUUUUUCAGGUAGCUGCUAGAUUUGCAAGUGAGUAAGGGCAAGUUUUAUGAAUAGCCGUAGAGUAACUUGCAUUGGUUUUUUGGAAGUGCUUAAAAAAAAACCAUACAACCCACAUUUGCAAAAGCUAUUGCAUAUUUUAUUACCAGUACAAGUGUGGAUCAGGCUGUAUGUAGAUGUACCGUUCCACACACAUACCAUUCUGGAAUGUGAACACAAAAACGUGUCUGUGCAGACACUUUUACUUAGACCAAGAUGAAGAGUUACAAAACGCUAUGUGGCAGAACAGUAUAAUUUUUUCUCUCAUUCUUUUAUCACUGCCUUUUAAUGAAUAUCAGUAGUCCCAUUUCUCUUUCAGCUAGGGUGGUUCAAGCAUUGCUACACAUUGGGAUAUUUAAAUGGAUGUUUUGGGCUUGAGUGAUUAAUUUGCAAGAUGCUGCGUGAUUUGAAGCAUUAGAAUUGCAUCAUUUACAGCUCUGUGUCAGCCAGAAUGCCUGCCUGCUCCAUGCAGGGCUGAGGGCAAGGCAGAUGUCUCUACUGUCUGUGAUUUCAUCUGUCUCUGUCCAAUGGUUCUUGUGCUACUGUUAUGGAAAACAAAGGAAGACAAAAAAUAGACUGCACAUCUGGCACUGUGAAGUUUUGCAGUCUGAGAAUUGCACAGUGUGUACUAAGAAGGGUACCUGUAAGAAGAAAAACUUCACGAUCACUUUUAGCACGCACAGCCUGUUAACUCCUUUCCAGUUUCUUAAACAGAAAAUCUCCAAAGUAAAGUCAUUCUACAUACACUAAAUGAAGCCUUUCUUCUGAUGCAGAAGAUGAUCCCUUUGAGCAACCCUUGCCUGGGCUUCCCACGUGCUGUCUGCCUGGGAGACAGAGUACACAGGCAAAAGUGGACCUCACCUUGCCAAAGUACCUUGCUCAAGAACACAGCUUGGCUACAUUCAUCACAGCAAUGAUAUUAUCAAAUAGAAAUGUGUUUAUAGCUUUCUGACUUUGAACCUGCAGACUAUAACUACUUCUUCCUGUACAGGCCAAACUGUGUGUCAGGUGAGAGAGAAAAGGUGGGAAGAAUCAUUUUGUGGAGCAGCCUGUCUUAGUAAUAAUGGGGGAGGUUAGGACAACUAUUAUGUUAAGGGGGUGUCUCAGUUAAGAAUCUUAAUGACUUUUUUGACUUAUUCUUCACCAACAAGUGCUCUAGCCAUGCUGCCCAAGCUGCAGAAAGCAAAGCCUAGGACUGAAAGAAUGAAGAACCCUCCAGUGUAGAAGACCAUAGUUGAGGCCAUCUAAGGAACUUGAAGGUGCACAAGUCCAUGGGACCUGAUGAGAUGUGUCUGUGAAUCCUGAGGCAACUAGUGGAUCAAGUUGCUAAGCCACUAUCCAUCCUAUUUGAGACACUGGCAUAAUCCUCAUUUUUAAAAAUGGAAAAAAGUAAGAUGUGGGGAACUACAGGCCAGUCAUUCUCACCUUUGUGCCCAGAAGAUCAGGUAACAUAGAGAAGAUCAUCUCAUCAUCAGAGAACAGCGAGGUGAUUGGUGAGAGCCAGCAUGGCUUCACUAAAGGCAAAUUAUGCCUGAAAAGUUUGGUGGCCUUCUAUGGCAGGGUUACAUCAAUGGUGGAUAAGGGAAGAGCAAGUGAUGUCAUCUACCUGGACUUGUGCAAAGCAUUUGACAGUGUCCAGCACAGCCUCCUAGUCUCUAAACUGGAGAGAAAUGGGUUUGAGUGAUGGACCACACAAUGGAUAAGGAAUUGGUCACACUUGAAGGCUUGUGGACAACAGCUCGAUGUUUAAGGUCUCUUCCAAUCCAAACUAUUCUAUGAUUUAUGGUUUCAAAUGCAAUAAAUUAAUAAAUGC
rnacentral:lncRNA from 1 species